UAACAAUUAUGCUGUAGAUUGAAGAGGAAUAAGAAGACGAAGAGCAUCGACCAUGGCGAUGCAUAAGCUCAUAACUCGUGGAGCAGCUCGUGCGGUUCCAGGCUCAUCUUCUUCCGCCAAUCCUUUCCGUGCUCUAGGCAACGCUCUUAUCGGUUCUUCUUCCAAGACUUAGGUUUUCGUUUGAUUCACAAGCAGGAAAGAUUGAAGGAGAUACCUCAUCCACGCCCACAGCUUCUGAGCCGUAAUUUUGUCCAAACACUCAUGGCCACAUACUGCACCAGAUCUGAGAGAACGCUCACAAGGAUGAGCUUAAGAAGAACGAAGAUACCAUUUCAAGGUCAGCCGAAUCAUAUUGAUGUCAGGACAGUAUAUGGAUACGGUCAUGGGGAUGAUUACAGAGGAAACAAUGAAUCACAGAUGACUAAAUAUUCUAGGGAGGCAUUAAUUCAGCUCUUAAAUCUGGUGCAGUUGAAACUACAUCCUAGAUUUUUAUAAAGUAGAGUGUCCGCUUUGACAGGAUAUCAAUUUUUGAUGAAGUUUUCAAGCUAAUGUCCCGGUUAGACUUGGUGGUAAGAUUUAUUCAUCGAAGUUUUUAAAGUAGAUUAUUGUUAAUUGAUGAGUGAUGUCUAAUUCUUCAUGA